AUUGAACGCUGGCGGCAGGCCUAACACAUGCAAGUCGAGCGAGCGGCGGACGGGUGAGUAAUGUCUGGGAAACUGCCCGAUGGAGGGGGAUAACUACUGGAAACGGUAGCUAAUACCGCAUACCAUCAGAUGUGCCCAGAUGGGAUUAGCUAGUAGGUGGGGUAAUGGCUCACCUCGGCGACGAUCCCUCGCUGGUCUGCGAGGAUGACCAGCCACACUGGAAGUGAGACACGGUCCAGACUCCAACGGGAGGGAGCAGUGGGGAAUAUUGCACAAUGGGCGCAAGCCUGAUGCAGCCAUGCCGCGUGUGUGAAGAAGGCCUUCGGGUUGUAAAGCACUUUCAGCGAGGAGGCGUUACUCGCAGAAGAAGCACCGGCUAACUCCGUGCCAGCAGCCGCGGUAAUUC
rnacentral:rRNA from 1 species